rnacentral:rRNA from 1 species
UAUUCAAAUGAGAACUUUGAAGACCGAAGUGGAGAAGGGUUCCACGUGAACAGCAGUUGGACGUGGGUUAGUCGAUCCUAAGAGACAGGGAUGUUCCGCACACGCAGGCUUUGCCUCGUCUCUCGAAAGGGAAUGGGGUUAAUAUUCCCCAACCAGGACGUGGAUACUGUAUGGCAACGUAAGAGAAUUCGGUGACGCAGGGGGGAGCCU